GACGGGGGGGGCAAGUGUUCUUCGGAAUGACUGGGCGUAAAGGGCACGUAGGCGGUGAAUCGGGUUGAAGGUGAAAGUCGCCAAAAAGUGGCGGAAUGCUCUCGAAACCAAUUCACUUGAGUGAGACAGAGGAGAGUGGAACUUCGUGUGUAGGGGUGAAAUCCGUAGAUAUGCGGAGGAACACCGAUGGCGAAGGCAGCCCCCUGGGCUAACACUGACGCUCAUGCACGAAAGCGUGGGGAGCAAACAGG
rnacentral:rRNA from 1 species